rnacentral:rRNA from 1 species
UACCAGCACCCCGAGUGGUCGGGACGAUUAUUGGGCCUAAAGCAUCCGUAGCCGGUCCUACAGGUCUUCCGUUAAAUCCACCUGCUCAACAGAUGGGCUGCGGAAGAUACUAUAGGGCUAGGAGGCGGGAGAGGCAAGCGGUACUCAGUGGGUAGGGGUAAAAUCCUCUGAUCCAUUGAAGACCACCAGUGGCGAAGGCGGCUUGCCAGAACGCGCCUGACGGUGAGGGAUGAAAGCUGGGGGAGCAAACCGG